rnacentral:ncRNA from 19 species
UAACUUUGCCCCUGAUUUGGUGAUACGAUCGCAUUCUGCGAUUUGUAUAAAAGGGAAUCCGGUUUGAAUCCGGAACAGUACCCGCUACUGUAAAGUCCUUACUUUCAAAAGUUGAAAGUAAUAAAAGAAAGCAAGCUCACACCACUGUUUCGAGAGAAAUGGGAAGGUCGCUUUCUGGACAUAGUCAGGAAACCUGCCAGUCGAUAAAUAAAUUCC